UUGAGGACAGUGAUCUCGAGUUUUUCCUCUCGACAGCAUCGCAUCAGGUGAUAUUAGAAUAUUGUAGGAGCUGGAAAUAUGAGAGAAGUGAAGGAGAAAGGUGUCUGUUUGUUCCAAACUGGCCUGAAAAGCUUUCUGACCUCUUCAUAGACCGUCUACAGAUUGACACAAUUAUACACUGUCAGGCGUCGGAUAAAGUGUUUUGUGACGCAAUCCAAGCCCGUUUUAACUUUCCAAAGGAAAUCAUAGACUGGGACAAAGAGGCCAAGGAACACUACGCGGAACUCUCCAAUAGAGGAACACAGACUGUCCAUCAUGCUCGGGGAAUGAUUGUAGGAUGUGCCGGAGCCGGGAAGACUACGCUUCUAAAACGUCUACUUGGGCGUUCUAAUGAAGAGAUUCUGAACGUGAAACCAACGAGAUAGGGUUGGACGUUCAUGAGGAAAUCUUUGAAAUUAGUGAUGGAAAAUUAAAAGAGACUCUUCGUGCUGACAAUCUCAAGAUCUUUGAAAAAUUCAAUGGAAACGAGAUAAACUAAAG